rnacentral:rRNA from 1 species
UACGUAGGUGGCAAGCGUUGUCCGGAUUUACUGGGCGUAAAGAGCGCGCAGGUGGCCAAGUCAGUCGAAUGUGAAAGCCCCCGGCUUAACUGGGGAGGGUCAUUCGAUGCUGCUCGGCUCGAAGACAGGAGAGGGAAGCGGAAUUCCCGGUGUAGUGGUGAAAUGCGUAGAUAUCGGGAGGAACACCAGUGGCGAAGGCGGCUUUCUGGCCUGUUCUUGACGCUGAGGCGCGAAAGCUAGGGGAGCAAACGGG